AUCCAGCUGGCGAGUCCCAAAUAGGACUAAACGCGCGUCCUGGAU
rnacentral:hammerhead_ribozyme from 1 species